rnacentral:rRNA from 1 species
GUGUGUGUGUUAGUGGAAGCGUCUGGAAAGGCGCGCGAUACAGGGUGACAGCCCCGUACACAAAAAUGCACAUACUGUGAGCUCGAUGAGUAGGGCGGGACACGUGGUAUCCUGUCUGAAUAUGGGGGGACCAUCCUCCAAGGCUAAAUACUCCUGACUGACCGAUAGUGAACCAGUACCGUGAGGGAAAGGCGAAAAGAACCCCGGCGAGGGGAGUGAAAAAGAACCUGAAACCGUGUACGUACAAGCAGUGGGAGCACGCUUCGGCGUGUGACUGCGUACCUUUUGUAUAAUGGGUCAGCGACUUAUAUUCUGUAGCAAGGUUAACCGAAUAGGGGAGCCGAAGGGAAACCGAGUCUUAACUGGGCGUUAAGUUGCAGGGUAUAGACCCGAAACCCGGUGAUCUAGCCAUGGGCAGGUUGAAGGUUGGGUAACACUAACUGGAGGACCGAACCGACUAAUGUUGAAAAAUUAGCGGAUGACUUGUGGCUGGGGGUGAAAGGCCAAUCAAACCGGGAGAUAGCUGGUUCUCCCCGAAAGCUAUUUAGGUAGCGCCUCGUGAAUUCAUCUCCGGGGGUAGAGCACUGUUUCGGCAAGGGGGUCAUCCCGACUUACCAACCCGAUGCAAACUGCGAAUACCGGAGAAUGUUAUCACGGGAGACACACGGCGGGUGCUAACGUCCGUCGUGAAGAGGGAAACAACCCAGACCGCCAGCUAAGGUCCCAAAGUCAUGGUUAAGUGGGAAACGAUGUGGGAAGGCCCAGACAGCCAGGAUGUUGGCUUAGAAGCAGCCAUCAUUUAAAGAAAGCGUAAUAGCUCACUGGUCGAGUCGGCCUGCGCGGAAGAUGUAACGGGGCUAAACCAUGCACCGAAGCUGCGGCAGCGACACUAUGUGUUGUUGGGUAGGGGAGCGUUCUGUAAGCCUGUGAAGGUGUACUGUGAGGUAUGCUGGAGGUAUCAGAAGUGCGAAUGCUGACAUAAGUAACGAUAAAGCGGGUGAAAAGCCCGCUCGCCGGAAGACCAAGGGUUCCUGUCCAACGUUAAUCGGGGCAGGGUGAGUCGACCCCUAAGGCGAGGCCGAAAGGCGUAGUCGAUGGGAAACAGGUUAAUAUUCCUGUACUUGGUGUUACUGCGAAGGGGGGACGGAGAAGGCUAUGUUGGCCGGGCGACGGUUGUCCCGGUUUAAGCGUGUAGGCUGGUUUUCCAGGCAAAUCCGGAAAAUCAAGGCUGAGGCGUGAUGACGAGGCACUACGGUGCUGAAGCAACAAAUGCCCUGCUUCCAGGAAAAGCCUCUAAGCAUCAGGUAACAUCAAAUCGUACCCCAAACCGACACAGGUGGUCAGGUAGAGAAUACCAAGGCGCUUGAGAGAACUCGGGUGAAGGAACUAGGCAAAAUGGUGCCGUAACUUCGGGAGAAGGCACGCUGAUAUGUAGGUGAAGCGACUUGCUCGUGGAGCUGAAAUCAGUCGAAGAUACCAGCUGGCUGCAACUGUUUAUUAAAAACACAGCACUGUGCAAACACGAAAGUGGACGUAUACGGUGUGACGCCUGCCCGGUGCCGGAAGGUUAAUUGAUGGGGUUAGCGGUAACGCGAAGCUCUUGAUCGAAGCCCCGGUAAACGGCGGCCGUAACUAUAACGGUCCUAAGGUAGCGAAAUUCCUUGUCGGGUAAGUUCCGACCUGCACGAAUGGCGUAAUGAUGGCCAGGCUGUCUCCACCCGAGACUCAGUGAAAUUGAACUCGCUGUGAAGAUGCAGUGUACCCGCGGCAAGACGGAAAGACCCCGUGAACCUUUACUAUAGCUUGACACUGAACAUUGAGCCUUGAUGUGUAGGAUAGGUGGGAGGCUUUGAAGUGUGGACGCCAGUCUGCAUGGAGCCGACCUUGAAAUACCACCCUUUAAUGUUUGAUGUUCUAACGUUGGCCCGUUAUCCGGGUUGCGGACAGUGUCUGGUGGGUAGUUUGACUGGGGCGGUCUCCUCCUAAAGAGUAACGGAGGAGCACGAAGGUUGGCUAAUCCUGGUCGGACAUCAGGAGGUUAGUGCAAUGGCAUAAGCCAGCUUGACUGCGAGCGUGACGGCGCGAGCAGGUGCGAAAGCAGGUCAUAGUGAUCCGGUGGUUCUGAAUGGAAGGGCCAUCGCUCAACGGAUAAAAGG